rnacentral:tRNA from 1 species
CCGGGGUAGCUCAGCCUGGUAGAGCGCCGGGCUGUUAACACCCGGUGGUCCGGGGUUCGAGUCCCCGCCCCGGCGC